UCAAGCUACAAAGGGCGCAUGGUGAAUGCCUUGGCAUCAGGAGCCGAUGAAGGACGUGAUAAGCUGCGAUAAGCUUCGGGUAGGCGCACAUAGCCAGUGAUCCGGAGAUUUCCGAAUGUGGGAACACACAUGGGAAACCCCAUGUAUCGUAUAGUGAAUACAUAGCUAUACGAGGGUAAACCUAGGGAACUGAAACAUCUAAGUACCUAGAGGAAGAGAAAGAAAAAUCGAUUUCCUUAGUAGCGGCGAGCGAAAGGGAAAGAGCCCAAACCAAAGAUUUAUCUUUGGGGUUGCGGACAGAACAUUAAAGUGGAGGCUAUUGUAAUUGAAGAGUACUGGAAAGUACCACCGUAGAAGGUAAUAGUCCUGUAAGUAAAACGAGAAGACCACGAGUUCUGAUCCAGAGUACCACGAGACACGUGAAACCUUGUGGGAAGCAGGGAGGACCACCUCCCAAGGCUAAAUACUACCUGAUGACCGAUAGUGAAGCAGUACCGUGAGGGAAAGGUGAAAAGAACCCCGGGAGGGGAGUGAAAUAGAACCUGAAACCGUGUGCCUACAACCGGUCAAAGCCCCUUAUGAGGGUGAUGACGUGCUUUUUGUAGAACGAGCCAACGAGUUACGGUAUGUAGCAAGGUUAAGUACUUAAGGUACGGAGCCGAAGGGAAACCGAGUCUUAAUAGGGCGACUAGUUGCAUGCCGUAGACCCGAAACCGGGUGACCUAUCCAUGGCCAGGUUGAAGCGAGGGUAAAACUUCGUGGAGGACCGAACCACGUUGCUGUUGAAAAAGCAUGGGAUGAGCUGUGGAUAGCGGAGAAAUUCCAAUCGAACUCGGAGAUAGCUGGUUCUCCCCGAAAUAGCUUUAGGGCUAGCGUCGGAUAUGUGUAGUGGAGGUAGAGCACUGAAUGGGCUAGGGGGCAUAUCGCUUACCGAACCUUAUCAAACUCCGAAUGCCAUAUACAUUAAGUCCGGCAGUCAGACUACGAAUGAUAAGAUCCGUGGUCAAAAGGGAAACAGCCCAGAUCGUCAGCUAAGGUCCCAAAGUGUAAGUUAAGUGGAAAAGGAUGUGGGAUUUCUAAGACAACUAGGAUGUUGGCUUAGAAGCAGCCACUCAUUUAAAGAGUGCGUAAUAGCUCACUAGUCGAGAGAUCCUGCGCCGAAAAUGUCCGGGGCUCAAACUUACCACCGAAGCUACGGGCUUGCGUAAGCAAGCGGUAGGGGAGCGUCGUAAUCGGGCUGAAGUCGUACCGUAAGGAGCGGUGGACUGAUUACGAGUGAGAAUGUUGGCAUUAGUAGCGAGAUGUAGGUGAGAAUCCUACAGGCCGAAUAUCUAAGGUUUCCUCAGGAAGGCUCGUCCGCUGAGGGUUAGUCGGGACCUAAGCCGAGGCCGAAAGGCGUAGGCGAUGGACAAUCGGUUGAUAUUCCGAUACCACUACCAUCGUUAUUAUCGAGGGUGUGACGGAGAAGGAUAGUGUGUGCUAGCGAUUGGAAAUGCUAGUCUAAGCGUUUAGGGAGUUACGGUAGGCAAAUCCGCUGUAACAAUUCUGAGGCGUGAUGGGGAAGGCCAUAUAGGCCGAAGUACAUGAUUCCAUGCUUCCAAGAAAAGCAUCUAGAGAGAGAAGUAGUGCCCGUACCGCAAACCGACACAGGUAGAUGAGGAGAGAAUCCUAAGGCCGGCGGAAGAAUUGCAGUUAAGGAACUAGGCAAAUUGACCCCGUAAGUUCGCGAGAAGGGGUGCCUGUGAGAGCAGGCCGCAGAGAAUAGGCCCAAGCAACUGUUUAGCAAAAACACAGGUCUCUGCUAAAGCGCAAGCUGAUGUAUAGGGGCUGACGCCUGCCCGGUGCUGGAAGGUUAAGGGGAACACUUAGCGCAAGCGAAGGUGUGAACUUAAGCCCCAGUAAACGGCGGCCGUAACUAUAACGGUCCUAAGGUAGCGAAAUUCCUUGUC
rnacentral:rRNA from 1 species